UACGAAGGGGGCUAGCGUUGUUCGGAAUUACUGGGCGUAAAGCGCACGUAGGCGGCUUUCUAAGUCAGGGGUGAAAUCCUGGAGCUCAACUCCAGAACUGCCUUUGAUACUGGGAAGCUCGAGUCCGGGAGAGGUGAGUGGAACUGCCAGUGUAGAGGUGAAAUUCGUAGAUAUUCGCAAGAACACCAGUGGCGAAGGCGGCCCUCUGGUCCAGUACUGACACUCAAGUGCGAAAGCGUGGGGAGCAAACAGG
rnacentral:rRNA from 1 species